AGAAAGACUCGGACGAAAUAUUCGAGUGAAACGCAAACAUAGAAAAGAAAGUCUCAUCCUGCGCGUUCUCUUACAUAUUGCACGUAUAUGGCUUUAGAUGCAUAUUGCUCCCAAUAGACACCGUCUUCGUCGAUUCUCGACUUCAUGUUUUCUAUACGCGCGCCGGUACCAGCAUAUAUAAAAUACGACGCACAUAAAAAGUGACACAUCUAUAUCAACAUAUAUAUGCGUAACUUUAUGUAUCUGUAUACGCACAUCCUGCGUUUUGGCGCGAGCGCGUGAGAUGCAUUUGAGGGUGUGUGGCCUUCUUAAAGUCGCGCGUAAGCCACGAAAAGUCACACGAUUGUGAGAGCACCUUUAACACCCGCCGUGAGGGGGCUAAAGCGCAGGCCUCGAAUCGAUCCUCCAUCCCCCUCGGGAGUCAACGCGUCCGCGAAGAGCAACCCCCGGCCGACGACUCUGUUGUCGACCCAACAACAGUUCAAAACCACCCGAGAACACCGCGGCAAACAUGGCGUUGGAUUUUGCAGCCACGUACAAGGUUCUAGUGUUGGGCGAUUCGAACGUCGGCAAGACCUGUAUCGUGCAUCGCUACUGCGACGAACGGUACUACGACACUUACAUCUCGACGAUAGGUAUCGAUUUCAAACAAAAGAUCAUUAACCUAGACGGAACGCCAAUUAAAUUACAAAUUUGGGAUACCGCCGGCCAAGAAAGAUUUCGAACUUUAACAACGGCGUAUUAUCGUGGUGCCAUGGGUAUUCUUUUGAUGUACGACGUCACUAGUUUGGAGAGUUUCAACCAUCUGUCUUAUUGGCUGCGAAAUAUUCAAGAAAAUGCGUCACCGGACGUAGUAAAAGUUUUGGCAGCGAAUAAGUGCGACGCGACCGCGCAUCGCGCCGUGGACGCCGAGAGAGGCCAGAAGAUCGCCGAAAAUUUCGAUAUGCCCUUCUUCGAGGUAUCGUGCAAGGAGAAUAUCAAUAUCGAGGAGGCUUUUCUCACCCUAGCCAGAAGAAUACGGGAGCAACGGGGCCGCCGAGCCAGUCUGUUCGAAGCUUCCGAGAGAGAAGGCGCAGACAGUAUUAUUAAGGCGCAGUCACCGUCUCAGCAGGGUGACGCCUGGAGAUGCACCUGUUAGUUCGGAUAAUCAUCGAAAGUCUAUUCGGUUGGGGACUUCGACGGCAGCCAGAUACUGAAGUGAAACAAAAUCUCGAAACGAGGCCAAAUCGAUAUCGACAAGAGCACUUGACAUCUGUAUAUCAAAUCUUUCAUAUCGAUAUGUACACGUACGUGAUAAACCAUGCUUAAUUGAUCCGUUUUGAUAAUCGUAAUGGAGCACAUUUUCGGCGAUCUAUCUUAUGUUCGAUGUGUGUGAAUGGCGUUUUUUGCAAUGCAUUCUGCUAUAGAAUGUCGGUGCACCAAUCCUGUUUCGUAUAAAAAAAUUAAGGAUGAGCACUUUAAUAGCAUUCUUAAUAGCAUUUUUUCACAGGCCAUAUGUACGGCCGGAGGGGAGGAUAAAGGCCGCGAAAGAUUAGAUUAGCUGUCAUAUAACACUGCUACAAUAUGCGCACAUUUUAACACGCGGAGCGUAAAUUAUAUUCGCGCGCGAUUAAAUUGACAGAACCUUAUAAUUUGAAAAAGGUCGAGAGAGAGCUGUUUUAUAUAAAUACAUAAAUUUCUUGAUUUUGGAUUUAUAUAUAUAAAUUUUUCGUACGACACUUUUUUUACUUGCAAGACAGAUUUAUUGAACUUGCGUUAUAGCCAGUGUAGGAUUGAAGGAUUAAUCGGAUAAAAUUUUACCGAAGAUGUAGUAUAAUUAAGAAUAUAUAUUAGAUAUAUAUAUAUAUAAUGACAUAUAAUUGUUUCAAUAACCGGAGACAGGAAAGUAAAUUAUAGGGCAUUUUUUAUUUAAGAUCCGAUUUAACUUUUUCAAUCUUAUUUUUUAUAUUGUUUAGAGAGUUAUCAGUAUUUAUUAUGAUAUAGAGAAGCGCACAAUCUUUUCUGACAAACGUAGAAAUCAUCUCUUCGUUCUUUUGACGAGAUCACUUUCAUCAUUCGCACAUCUCGUUUACGCUGACAGAAAGACAAAAGCCUUUAUUGUGCCUAUCAAUGAUUAAGAAGAAGGAUAAAGAACGAGAUGAGAAAAGAAGAUGGUGAUAUAUUAUAUGAGAUAUCGUACGGAAAUCGCUUUAUGAUCGAUCGGAACAAAUUAUGAGUUGGUAAUUAUAAGACGAUAUUGGUGCUCCUCGAUCGAAGUUCCAAUUAAAGUCUCACUUUAGUAACAUCUCUGAGGACUUUGCACUCUUGGGAUCACAUGAGAAUCGACGGAUACUUUCGCGAUACUUUUUUUUUUCUUUUUUCUUUAUAGUAUAGUCUCAAAAAUCAAGUCUCUCGUCUCUUAUAGCGAACGGCGAUUUUCACCGCUGUGAUUUCUGAUUUAUGUAAACAACAAUCGUUGCGUAUCAUCGCCAAUCUCAUAUUCACGUUCGUUGCAAUUCGAAAUUGCAUUGCGAGUGGCAAUCCCGUAGUAUGCAUUACUAACGGUAUACCGUUUUGCUGAUGCAGUAUUAAGAGCGCCAGUAAAACUUUGCGAAAACCCACUUUCUCGCGCUUUUCGCACGCUUGCUGGCACGUUCGCGAAUUGCAUCGCGACAGUUGAUCGAAUCUAAAGUGCGUGCACGCACUUGACGAGAAAUGCAUUAUAUCUGUCGCGAUCGAUCGACAUCGCAGCGACGAUGCUAAUGAAAAAAAAAAAACGAGGUUACUUUACGAAUUGCGCUCGUUAACGAAUUAGCGAUCGACACGAUACGAUUUGUUUUUUUUUUUUUCAGCCGUAUCCUAAACGUAAUAGUUAUGGCAUAGGCUUUGUACCAUUUGCACAAGACGAUACAUACUAAAAAUAUAUAAAUUAUAUAUAUAUACAUACAUAUUAUAUAUAUACAUAAUGGUAUAUAUAUAUUUGUUGCUUUUAUAUAUUUAUAAAUCGCGGCAUAUUUGUAUAAAAACAUUACGGAAUUUAAUUAUCUUGCCUGCUAAGCAGCAUGCGCGUACUUUAAUUAGCGCACGGUUUCCCAAAUUAAAUGUAAACGAGAAUUAAAUUUUUCAGUGUUUAUUUUUCACAGAUCUGAAAUGUAUAACGGGGCAUACAAAAACGACAAAAUUAAAAUAUUUUAGCUAUUUUUAAUGAGAGAUUUCAUUGCGAUUUAAAUUUCUUUUAAAUAUCAGAGAACGUAGCUAUCGAACGAUUGUGACAAAGUUUAAAUAUCUCAAUUCAACCGUGAAAGUUUCAAAUAAAUAAAUGUUUAUAUUGUUGUCUGAUGGACCUAUAUAUGAUUUUUUACAGUUUGGGAAACCUUGAAUUAGCGGAAAUUAGAUACAAUUAGGAAGAAAUCAGAAUGUUGAGUGAGCGCUGUUCUAGUCAACUCACCUUUUUUGGAUGCGCGCGUGAUUUGUCAGGACUGUCGUUAAUUUUUGUUUCGUAGACCGUCUGUGGCGAGGAGAAGCCCUCAUAUAUUUUGAUAUUAUUCUCGAUCCUCCUGAAAAAAAAUGUAUUUUUUAGUCGAAAGCGAUGCAAAAAAAACAAAGAAGGCCGAAAUAGAUCUUUCACGUAAAUGAUCGAAUGAAAUAAAAUCAGCGGCGCAAAAUCACAUUCGGCUAUUGAGUUUCGAUUAAUAUGCAAAUGUACGAGUGUGUUUGUUUCUCGUGAGAAAUAUGGAAAGGAAAUAAUAGAGAGUAAAAAAAAGGAAGUCAAUUUUGAAAACACGGUGUCGCCCACGUGAACGGUAGAGUCGCUUGUAUGAAUUUUUUUUUUAAGGGACGCUGGUUCGUUUGCCUUCAUUGAAAUGCUUGAUUUCUCAUCCGAAGCUGGUCUUCGGCUGAAAAGUCUUUCGGAAGAGAAGUUUUUAUACGACUUAGUUGAUGCCUGCCACGUAUGUGCCCGCGCGUGCAACGCUGUAACUAGUGUUUUUUUUUUUAUAUCGCGAGUGCAAGUGUGUUUUAUUAUUUAUUUCACAUCUUGUUCUUGAGAUUCGGAGUUUAUUCGCUUUGUAUUCGCGCAGAUCUUUCGUUUAUUGUUAGAUUUAUAAUUUCUCGAUGUCAUAAAUCUCUACGAAUUUCUAGAGAAUUCUGUUUUAUAAAUUUUUAAAUUCUGAAUCAUACAAUUGUAGUUAUAUCUUUAAUUUUAUUUUAUAUUCUAGUUAUGGCUCUGCAAAUAUUCGUAGCUCUCGAUUUUCAACGAUCUUGCAAUUUUCAACGAUACGAUGAAAGUUUCUCGAUAGAAAUCAGCUAUGUUUUUGUUACAAACUCUGUUAAGAUAUAUAGAGAUAGAAUAUGGAUUGUGUGAUCGGGCAAACAGUUCUGGUUGCCAAAUUUUAUGCUUCACAAAAUAAAAUGAUCUUUACCAUAAAGUUUUUAAAACUUGCUAUAUUAAUGCUUGAAUUAAAGUUUUUAGAACUUGCUAUAUUAAUGCUUAAAUUAAACUAAAUUAAAAAUCUAAUAUUUUUUAUUUUAUGCAUACACAAUCUUUUUUUACAAUUUUGUAGAAUAAAAUUUCUCCAAACACAAGGAAACGCUUUGCCCGAUCACGGAGGAAAUAAUGGCAAAUAUGUUAAACGUAUGACAUAAUAACACAGCUUUUACAACAUUUCAUUUGUCAUUACAUCACCUCACCCUCAAUAACGAGCAUCAUGUUAUGUAAUUUAAUUCCACCUUCGCGAUCGAUUAUCUAAAUGUGUAAGUGUAUAAGUUUUUAAGUUUGUAGAAACAACUUGUUCAACUCGAUGUCUGAAUCAAUAAUAUAAAUAAAAAUACACACUUUUUACCUACAA